ACAUGCUUACAACAUAGCGUUAAUGCACUAGAUCCCAUUAGAACUCCAUAGUUAAGCAUGCUUAAGGUAGAGUAGUAUUGGGAUGGGUGACCACCCGAGAUGUCCUACUAUUUUACAUGCC
rnacentral:rRNA from 1 species